rnacentral:rRNA from 1 species
GAUGAACGCUAGCGGCAGGCCUAACACAUGCAAGUCGAGGGGCAGCACAGAAACAGCAAUGUUUUGGUGGCGACCGGCGGACGGGUGCGUAACGCGUAUGCAACCUACCUUCAACAGGGGGAUAACGGAGAGAAAUUUCCACUAAUACCCCAUAACAUCGAUCAAGGCAUCUUGAUUGGUUGAAAACUCCGGUGGUUAAAGAUGGGCAUGCGUUGUAUUAGGUAGUUGGUGAGGUAAUGGCUCACCAAGCCUACGAUACACAGGGGGACUGAGAGGUUAGCCCCCCAAACUGGUACUGGGACACGGACCAGACUCCUACGGGAGGCAGCAGUGAGGAAUAUUGGUCAAUGGGGGCAACCCUGAACCAGCCAUGCCGCGUGCAGGAAGACGGCUCUAUGAGUUGUAAACUGCUUUUAAACAGGGAUAAAGCACAGUAUGUAUACUGUGUUGAAGGUACUGUAAGAAUAAGGAUCGGCUAACUCCGUGCCAGCCGCCGCCGUAA